rnacentral:rRNA from 1 species
UACACACCGCCCGUCACACCAUGGGAGUUGGCUUUACCCGAAACGGCGGCUGCGCUAACCCGCAAGGAGGCAGGCGACCACGGUAGGGUCAGCGACUGGGGUG